CCUACGGGAGGCAGCAGUAGGGAAUAUUGCUCAAUGGGGGAAACCCUGAAGCAGCAACGCCGCGUGGAGGAUGAAGGUCUUAGGAUUGUAAACUCCUUUUGUUAGAGAAGAUUAUGACGGUAUUUAACGAAUAACCACCGGCUAACUCCGUGCCAGCAGCCGUGGUAAUACGGAGGGUGCAAGCGUUACUCGGAAUCACUGGGCGUAAAGAGUGCGUAGGCGGGGUAAUAAGUCAGAUGUGAAAACCUGUAGCUUAAAUACAGAACUGCAGUUGAAACUGUUACUCUGGAGUGAGGGAGAGGUAGGUGGAAUGCUUGGUGUAGGGGUAAAAUCCGUAGAGAUCAAGCAGAAUUCUGAUUGCGAAGGCGACCUACUGGAACAUUACUGACGCUGAUGCACGAAAGCGUGGGGAGCGAACAGGAUUAGAUACCCGGGUAGUC
rnacentral:rRNA from 1 species